UUAGGGGUAGUUUAAAAUUAGAAUAGUGGUUUUGGGAAUCAUUGGCGCACAGGUGUGUUCCCUAAA
rnacentral:tRNA from 1 species